UACAGAGGCCUCGAGCGUUAGGCGGAAUCACUGGGCUUAAAGCGUGUGUAGGCGGACUUCUAAGUACCUUGUGAAAUCCCACGGCUUAACCCGUGGAACGGCUGGGUAUACUGGUCGUCUUGAGCCAUCUAGGGCUACCGGAACAAACUGGUGGAGCGGUGAAAUGCGUAGAUAUCAUUUGGAACGCCAAUGGUGAAAACAGGUAGCUGGGGGAUGUGC
rnacentral:rRNA from 1 species